rnacentral:rRNA from 1 species
GGUCAAGCUACAAAGGGCUCACGGUGGAUACCUUGGCACACAGAGGCGAUGAAGG